UCAGUCACUCACUAUCGUUGACGCAGCACGGGCAGUGGUGGGAAGUCAUGAAGUACAAAUAUUUGUUCUUGGAGGUGGGAAAGGGUUCGCCUCACAGUUCUGAGGUACCGAGUUCAAUCCCAGACCCGCCUGCGUGGAGUUUGCAUGUUGUCCCCGUGCCUGCGUGGGUUUCUCUCCCCCCCACAUCCCAAAAACCCGAAACACUAAUUGGCCCAAGGUGUGAUUGUUAGUUCGCUUGUUUGUCUCGACGUGCCCCUGCGAUAUGCUUGGCAACUGUUGUAACAUGUUGACAUGCGGACACACGUGAGAAAAGCACGAACGUUGCCACAUCUGGGCCGUCAUUUAAAGCAGCACUGGGCACGCUGUCCAGAUCCACGUGGAUGCUGCUGGGUUCGCCGCUGCCCACCCAGCCGAUGGGCGUGCGGUUGAAAGAAGGCCGCAGGUUGAUCUCGUGCCCGUACACGACCGUGGGCUCGGCCACCACUUUGGUCUUCU